GCGCCUAUGGUGAAAGGGAUAUCACUCGAGAUUCCGGUUCUCGCAUUCCAGGUUCGAGUCCUGGUAGGCGCACCA
rnacentral:tRNA from 1 species